AGGAGCUUUUGCUUCUGCUUCUGUUUCUGCUUCUUUCUACAGCACUUUCUCAAAUCACACAUCCAUCCAUCAUUUCUAUCACUAUCUUCUCUGUUUACGGCUUAGUUUGGUAUUGAAAUCUAUUUAACGUUAUUAGAUAAAAUAGAGUUGAGGAAAAAGCAUAUAGGGAUAUAUUUCUAUAUUCUUCGGUCAGACCGUAGAAAAUAUAUCGUAAUCGUCUCAUCGCGAUAUGCGGAACGCAGUAUACUUUCUCAACGCACGUAACAUAAUCGUCCAGCAAUCACAAACAAAGCCUAUGAGUUCUCCAAAAUGUACCCCACAACCUACCAAUUU
rnacentral:lncRNA from 1 species